UGAACUAUAUGAUCCAGGCAGUGUUGUGCUUCUCUUUUCAUAUGAGUUUGAGUUCUCCUCCUGUUUGGAAGGGAAGGGGUCUUAGUUUCGCGGCAUCUCAUUUUUCUAUCUUGGUCAGUAGUCUUGAUUCUAUUGAAGUGAAAUUAAAAUUUCAAAAAAGGUGAUCUUUCAGAACGUCAUGGGAAGCUUAAGGCCUCCUAAACGAGGUCUAGCACCUACACAUUAUGUGUUCUAUUUUCUUUUCUUUUCCUUAAUAGGUUUUUCAAUUUAUAGUAAAGAAGAGUUGAUGAUCAAGUAUCAUUUUCUGCAUCUUCGGAGAUCCUUCUGUCUUUGUCCUUAUAGAUUGUCUAGAUCAGAGUAAUAGGCCGCUGAUGUUUGUGCGCAAUGAUUUGACAACUUAAUGGUGUCCAACUUUGGACUAGCAAUAGUAACAAAACGUUUGCUUGGUAUUUCAAGUUCACAUCUUAAGUGCUUUCUACUGAAUUGUAGCCAUGUUCCUUCCCCUUACUACUCAAUUGGAAGGUGUUUUAUCUCUGUGACUGCACAACAUGGAUGUGAGGGCAUUGUAAUCAGGCAUUGAACAGAAAAUUUCAUAGUGAACUCUUACUAGGAAAUAAUGCUUAGCUGGAGAGUUUGUUUUGUUAUCAAUAUUUCUUCCCUGGUUUGUUUCAGCUGUGUUGGUUUUGAUGAUUCAGUUUCUGAUUAUGAUUCCAUAUGCUUACUCCAGGUGUCAAGGUUAAUAUGUACAAACUCUGGUGAUGCCAUCUUAGUAUUAGCAUCGAAUGCUAUUAACCUGCUUUGGAAGUGGCUAAGAAAUGAGCGCAAUUCAGGGGGCAAGUACUGUGGCAACCUUCAAAUUGGCAUCUUAAUGACAAAUGAUGUGCAAGAACCAAACCAUGAGAAAGUUGUCUCCUGCUUUGCUUUGUCCAAGAAUGCUUGCUAUGUCAUAUCAACAUCUGGUGGAAAGAUCUCCUUGUUCAACAUGAUGACAUUCAAGAGAGUGACCAUGUGUCCUUUGCUAUAAUAUCUUGCAGCCUGUAAAUCCAAUAUCUGUAGCAUCAGCAAACAAAUUCUGGAUUUGCAUAUAGGUGGCCUCUUUUGUUGCCAUCAGUGGAAUGGUGUGUAAAUUUAACUCCAAAGGUGUAUGUCUAGCUUCACUCCAAAGGUGUCAAGGUUAAUAUGUACAAACUCUGGUGAUGCCAUCUUAGUAUUAGCAUCGAAUGCUAUUAACCUGCUUUGGAAGUGGCUAAGAAAUGAGCGCAAUUCAGGGGGCAAGUACUGUGGCAACCUUCAAAUUGGCAUCUUAAUGACAAAUGAUGUGCAAGAACCAAACCAUGAGAAAGUUGUCUCCUGCUUUGCUUUGUCCAAGAAUGCUUGCUAUGUCAUAUCAACAUCUGGUGGAAAGAUCUCCUUGUUCAACAUGAUGACAUUCAAGAGAGUGACCAUGUGUCCUUUGCUAUAAUAUCUUGCAGCCUGUAAAUCCAAUAUCUGUAGCAUCAGCAAACAAAUUCUGGAUUUGCAUAUAGGUGGCCUCUUUUGUUGCCAUCAGUGGAAUGGUGUGUAAAUUUAACUCCAAAGGUGUAUGUCUAGCUUCACUCCAAAGGUUAGUGCCUAGCCUCUCGCCUUGCCGCUAGGUGAGGCAGACCCUUGUUGGAUAUUUGUCUCCUGUCGCCAUCCAAAACACUGAACUUUUGCUAAGACCAUGAAUUUGUAUGUAUAGGUAAUAUUUAGCAUAAUACCAAGUAGAGUGUAGUAAUAGGUAUACAUAUAUUGGAACAUAAAACUAAGACACGCAUUAUUUUUUCUAAUGCAUUCUACGAAACGACUUCUUACUGCUUUAAUUUUAAUGAUAUUUUGCUAUCCACCUUUGAAGAGAAGAAAACGUCAUUUUUCUUGUAGUUAGACUUUCAUGAGCUAGAAUAGUGAAAUUGGUAUCAGAACAAUAUCCAGUCCUGAAGUCUGAACUGCUACGGAUCAUGGAAAGGUGAAACCCCCCCUCAAAGUUGGCCAUUGUUACAAAGAUAUGAACCAAUGCAUGGCUAUAUGUUUGAACAUAACGUACAUUAACGCAUACAAGAGGACUACAAAAUUAACUUUCUUAGACCAUCUUGCUUUAAAAAAAAUUGAGAUGAAUAUUUCAAAAGAAUUUCAUUUUGCAAUCAUGUAUGUGUAAAAUCAUGUUAUUACAAUGAAGUGGGGCAUCUGAUUUCCAGUAUGAACAUUUCUAGCAUUACUGGAGUAUCCCUCGGAAUAUUAUGUUUCAGAUGUUUGAUUUUUUCAACUUCUCUGCAUCCUCGUGUGCAUACAAUAAGUAAAUUUAUGUGUGAUAUCCUCAAGAAGUAAUGUCAGGAUACGUAGUCACUUCACCAAAUUGAUUUCAUCUCUGAUAUUUGAAGUAAUUUUUCAAUAACCUUGUCAUAUUUUUGCAGCAAUUCAAAUAUCCAAACCAAUUUGCAUUAGGUAUUCCAGAUGGUAGUGUUCAUGUUUUUGAACCACUUGAAUCUGAAGAUAAAUGGGGUGUCCCUCCACCACUUGAAAAUGACUUUGCAAAAGGUGUGCCUUAGAGGUUUCUUUGUUAUGUCGGUGCUUGAUCGGAGCCUGAAGCUCCAAUAGAUGGCGCAGCUGGCACACCUUUUGCAAAGCCAUUUUCAAGUGGUGGAGGGACACCCCAUUUACCUUCAGAUUCAAGUGGUUCAAAAACAUGAACACUACCAUCUGGAAUACCUAAUGCAAAUUGGUUUGGAUAUUUGAAUUGCUGCAAAAAUAUGACAAAGUUAUUGAAAAAUUACUUCAAAUAUCAGAGAUGAAAUAAGUUUGAUGAAGUGACUACGUAUCCUGACAUUACUUCUUGAGGAUAUCAGACACAUAAAUUUACUUAUUGUAUAGCUUGAUUCUCCGAUUUGGCUCGUUGAGAAUGGACCAGAAUUUUUGUGAGAAAAAGACAACUCACUCUCAUGCCAAAUGUAAUAUGAACUGAUGAUACAAACUAUGAAACUUGGAGCAUGGUACAAAAAUACCUUCAAAAGGAUAUCACUUAUUUCUCUCUAUAUAUAUAUAUAAUCAAAUAUUUUAUUUUCACAUCGCUCUUUAUUUUCAUGUAAAAUCAAUAUAUUCUUAUAUAAUUUUAUAUGUAAUACUCAUUUUUGGUAUAUAAUUCUUAUAUCUAAAACAUAUCAUGGUAUAAAUAAAAUUAAUGGCAAAGUUAGAUUAUUGUUAUAUUUUUCAUAUAAAUUUAUUAUUUUGAAAGUAUAUUUUUAUAGAAAAAUAUAAUAUAGGUAUUACAUAUAAUUUAUUAUUAUUGUUAACUACAUAUGCAUGGUAUAUGUUUUUAUAUCUGAAAUAUACCAUGUAUUUUUAUGGUACAAAUAUAAUUUAUAGAAAAUUCAUAUCACUGUUAUAUUUUUGUAUAAAAUAAUUAGACAGAUAUUCAUGGUAUAAAUUAUAAUGACAAAAACACCUUUUGUUAAAAAAAAUAUUUAUUAAAUAUGAAGAUAUAUUUCUAAUAUAUACCUGGUAUAAAUUUUUUAUAUAUGUAAAAUAAAUUAUUUUUAUUUAUGAUACAAAAUAUAGUAAUUUGUAGGAAAGUCUAAUUGGGGUGAAAUAAGAAUAAAGAACAAAAAUACAUCCAUAUUCAUCCAACAGCCACAAAAAUGAUACAAAAGUGAAAGGCAUUUCAUAUAUAAAUCUUACUGAAGCCGAAACCUAACCAAACCCAGAAUCGGCCAAGUAGCAUGACGGCGCAACACCAAUGAAGCUUCUCCGUUAUAGAGAAGGCUUCAUCUAUGGCAGAAUCACAUCUACCCAAAUCUUUUUCUUUACUUACCAUUCAAAAUCUAGGGUUUUUGUAAACACUGAUGGGUGUUGUGCAAUUUGAUACAACUAAAAAUCGAUUUGUGGCAGCGGUGGAUGAUUUCUCAAUCAAAUUCUCCGAUGUGGACCAUCCCGUAAGUUUUAUUCAUUGAGAAAAUUGUGGUGUUGUGUACACUAUAUUUAACUGCUUUUUCCUUUUAUAUCAAUGAAUAAAUUAUUUAAUGCAAUCCGAUUCAUUUCUCUAUUUAGCCUGUUUCUGCUAAUGAAAAUGUGAUAAAGGUUUUGGCAAACAAUAAAGGUAUUAGCUUCCAGGGCAUCUAGAACUAAAUCUUAGGGUUCCAUUUUUUUCUUUACACAAACAUGACCAGGUGUCCUUUGCUAUAAUAUCAUGUAGCCUACAGUAAAUCCAAUAUAUGUAGAAUCAGCAAACAAAUUCUGGAUUUGCAGAUAGGUGGCCUCUUUUGUUGCUAUCAGUGGAAUGGUUUGUAAAUUCAACUCCCAAAGGUGCAUGUCUAGCCUCACUCCAAAGAAUCGGAGAUGAUCAAGGCGUGUGACAUCAGAACAUGCCAUCAGCAAAUAAAAUUGUUCGUGUCAAGUUUAGUGGAAAUGAACCAUAUGAUCCAGGCAGUGUUGUGCUUCUCUUUUCAUAUGAGUGUGGGUUCUCCUCCUGUUUGGGAGGGAAGGGGUCUUGGUUUUGCGGCAUCUCAUUUUUCUAUCUUGGUCACCAGUUUUGAUUCUAUUGAAGUGAAAUUAAAAUUUCAAAAAAGGUGAUCUUUCAGAACGUCAUGGGAAGCUUAAGGCCUCCUAAACGAGGUCUAGCACCUACACAUUAUGUAUUCUAGUCUCUUUUCUUUUCCCUAAUAGGUUUUUCAACUUAUAGUAAAGAAGAGUUGAUGAUCAAGUAUCACUUUCUGCAUCUUCGGAGAUCCUUCUGUCUGUGUCCUUAUAGAUUGUCUAGAUCAGAGCAAUAGGCCGCUGAUGUUUGUGCCCAAUGAUUUGACAACUUCAAUGGUGCCCAACUUUGGACUAGCAAUAGUAACUAAACUUCUGCCUGGUAUUUCAAGUUCACAUCCUAAGUGCUUUCUACUGAAUUGUAGCCAUGUUCCUUCCCCGUACCCCACAAUUUGGAAGGUGUUGUAUCUCUGUGACUGCACAACAUGGAUGUGAGGGCAUUGUAAUCUGGCAGAAAAUUUCACAGUGAACUCUUACUAGGAAAUAAUGCUUAGCUGGAGAGUUUGUUUAGUUAUCAAUAUUUCUUCCCUGGUUUGUUUCAAUUGUGUUAGUUUUGAUGAUUCAGUUUCUGAUUAUGAUUCAAUUUGCUCACUCCAGAUAUCAAGGUUAAUAUGUACAAACUCUGGUGAUGCCAUCUUAGUAUUAGCAUCGAAUGCUAUUAACCUGCAUUGGAAGUGGCUAAGAAAUGAGCGCAAUUCAGGGGGCAAGGAAAUAACCAAAAUUGUGGCUUUCCUCCAUUUUGUACGGAAGUGAUUCUGAGAGUUGUGUCAAUCUUUCUUUAGGCAACAACCAGUGUUUCACCAGCACUGUGGCAACCUUCAAGAGGCAUCUUAAUGACAAAUGAUGUGCAAGAACCAAACCAUGAGGAAGCUGUCUCCUGCUUUGCUUUGUCCAAGAAUGCUUGCUAUGUGAUAUCAACAUCUGGUGGAAAGAUCUCCUUGUUCAACAUGAUGACAUUCAAGAGAGUUUCAUGCCUCCACCUCCAGCAGCAACUUAUAUUGCCUUCCAUCCUCAAGAUAACAACAUCAUCACUAUUGGCAUGGAUAAUUCUAUAAUGUCCGACUGGGUGAGGUUAAAAGCAAGCUUAGAGGGCACUCUAAAAGGAUAACUGGCCUUGCCUUCUCUCAUUUGCUCAAUGUGCUAGUUUCCUCGGGAGCUGAUUCUCAGAGCUGUGUAUGGAGCACUGUUGGGCGGGAAUGCAGAGGGCCAGAUCCUUGCAGCUACGGGGUCGAUCGAUAUCUCAAUCAGAUACCAGAGUGCAGUUCAUCAGGAUCAAACUCAUUUCUUUGUUGUGCAUGACGCACAGCUUGCAAUUUAUGAAAAAACAAAGUUGAAAUGCUUAAAGCAGCAGUGGGUUCCGUGCUGAAGUACUGCCCCAAUUUCUAAUGUGAUAGCCAGCUGAUACAUGCCAGUUUCUUGGAUGCAACUGUGUGCAUAUUCACUCUCCAUAUGCGAUGCCGGUAUUAUUCCUGGCAGUUCAAAUAUCCACCCAGUUGUUGCAGAACAUCUAGAAGAUCCAAGGCAAUAUGCACGAGCUAUGUCAGAUAGCAGUGUUAAUGUUUCCAUACCACUUGAAUCUGGAGGCAAAUAAGGCGUCCUUCCACCACUUGUAAAUGGUUCUGCAGACGGCGUUCCAGCAAUCUCAAGGCAGAUGGGGCGUUCCUCCAACACUUGAAAAUGAUUUUGCAGAAGAUGUGCCAGCUGCUCCAUCCAGGAGCUUGAAGCUUCGAUCAAGCACCAACAUAACAGAGAACCAUUAAGCAAACAAACAGUCUCGAUCGUCUUAGGUCUUAUAUCAUGCUGUUUGUUGUGGCAAUCUACUUGCUACAAGACAUGAUUUAGCUAGUACUCUUCAACAACUUUCUAACUCAAGUGUUUUUGGCGGCUCAGUCACUAAUGACAUUUGUUUUUCGAAUUCUUUGGCUUAUGUGAAUCAACAAUAUUUUUCAGUUUGUUUAUCAAGAUAUUUGAAUGAAAAUCCAAAACGAGUGCUUUAAUAUCAA